rnacentral:rRNA from 1 species
CCUACGGGUGGCAGCAGUGGGGAAUAUUGCGCAAUGGGCGAAAGCCUGACGCAGCGACGCCGCGUGAGGGAUGAAGGUCUUCGGAUCGUAAACCUCUGUCAGCAGGGACGAACGGUCACUGUGCUAAUCCGCAGUGAAUUGACGGUACCUGCAAAGGAAGCACCGGCUAACUCCGUGCCAGCCGCCGCGGUAAUACGGAGGGUGCGAGCGUUAAUCGGAAUUACUGGGCGUAAAGCGGUCGUCGGCGGUAUGUCAAGUCAAGGGUGAAAUCCGCGCGCUCAAAGUGGUAACAGACUUUGAAACUGGCGAACUGGAGUGUGAGAGAGGUAUGUGGAAUGCGAGGUGUAGGGGUGAAAUCCAUAGAUAUGUGGUGGAACA